rnacentral:misc_RNA from 1 species
CCCCUCGCUACUUCUAAUAGUUUCGGAAACAGUCUUCUUAGUGUUCAACUUCUGACUAAGAAGAACCAUUCGUUACAAACUGAGAUAGAGAACCAUGAGCCAAGGAUAUUCAGUGUAGUAGAAGUAGGCCAGCAGCUGAUAGAUGAGAGGCACCCUCAGUCUGAGGAGUUCACCGCCCUCAUUGACGAGCUGAAUGAAGAUGUGGAAUGACCUGCGUGCAGCCAUUAUUAAGCGCGACGAGCGGCUCAAACUGUCCUGACACAGCACAACAGUAUUAUUACGAUGCCUCUGAGGCUGAGGCCUGGAUGAGUGAACAGGAGCUGUACAUGUUGGGAGAGGAGAGAGCGAAGGAUGAGAUCGGGGCUCAGAACUUCCUGAAGAAACACCAGGCUCUGGAGAACGCUGUCGUUGACUACGCUGAUAUUGUGCGACAGCUAGGGUGAGAGGAGCAGGCAUCUGAUCGCUGAUGAACAUCCAGAGAGUGACCAGAUAGCUGUCAGGCAGUCCCAGGUAGACAAGCUGUAUGCCGGUCUGAAGGAUCUGUCUAACGAGAGGAAGAGCAAGCUGGAGGAAGUGCUCAAGCUCUAUGUACUGAACCGUGAAAUUGAUGACAUCAUGCAGUGGAUAGCAGAGAAGGAAUUGGUGGCAGGAUCUCACGAACUCGGUGCUGACUUCGAACAUGUCUGUAUGUUACAAGACAGGUUCAGGGAGUUUGCUCGGGAGACAGAGAGCAUAGGAACCGAGCGAGUGACCGCUGCUAAUGACAACUGUGAUGCCCUCAUCAUGGCGGAUCAUUCAGACUCUGCCCAGAUUGCUGAAUGGAAGGACAAUCUCAAUGAAGCUUGGAAUGAUCUGUUAGAGUUAAUGGACACCAGAACACAAAUGCUUCAGUCUUCCUGGGAACUGCACAAAUUCUACCACGAUUGUAAAGACAUCUUGGAGAGAAUACUGGAAAAGAAGAACUAUAUUCCUGAUGAACUGGGCAGAGAUGCACAGAGUGUUGCUGCUCUUCAAAGAAAACACAACAACUUUGAAAACGACCUUGUCACUCUUGGAGUUCAAGUCCAAGCCAUACAGGAGGACUCUGGUCGACUACAGACUGGUUAUGCCGGUGACAAGAAGGCCGAGAUUCAGAACCGCGAGGCGGAGGUGGUCGACGCCUGGAAGAACCUGAACCUGAUGGUCAACUCCAGGCGAAUCAAGCUGGCCGACGCCCAUGACCUGUUCAAGUUCUUUAACAUGGUCCGUGACCUCAUUCUCUGGAUGGAUGACAUCAUAAGACAGAUGAAAUCGCAAGAGAAGCCAAGAGAUGUCUCUGGUGUUGAUUUGCUCAUCAACAACCACCAAAGUCUGAAGGCAGAAAUUGAUGCAAGAGAAGAAAACUUUGCUAUUUGUAUUAACUUGGGCAAAGCCUUACUGGAAAGGAAUCACUACAGAUCUGAUGAAGUGAGAGAGAAGCUGAUACAGCUGACAACGGAGAGACAGGACAUGACCGACCAGUGGGCCGACCGAUGGGAGCACCUCAAGCUCAUCCUAGAGAUUUACCAGUUUGCCAGAGAUGCUUCUGUAGCAGAGGCUUGGUUGAUGGCUCAAGAACCUUACCUACACAACCACGACUACGGGGACACUCUUGAUGCAGUAGAAAACUUAAUCAAGAAACAUGAAGCUUUCGAAAAGUCGGCGGCAACACAAGAAGAAAGAUUUACAGCAUUAGAAAAAUUGACAACA